rnacentral:rRNA from 1 species
CCUACGGGAGGCAGCAGUGAGGAAUAUUGGUCAAUGGACGAGAGUCUGAACCAGCCAAGUAGCGUGAAGGAUGACUGCCCUAUGGGUUGUAAACUUCUUUUAUAUGGGAAUAAAACGUUCCACGUGUGGGAUUUUGUAUGUACCAUAUGAAUAAGGAUCGGCUAACUCCGUGCCAGCAGCCGCGGUAAUACGGAGGAUCCGAGCGUUAUCCGGAUUUAUUGGGUUUAAAGGGAGCGUAGGUGGAUUGUUAAGUCAGUUGUGAAAGUUUGCGGCUCAACCGUAAAAUUGCAGUUGAAACUGGCAGUCUUGAGUACAGUAGAGGUGGGCGGAAUUCGUGGUGUAGCGGUGAAAUGCUUAGAUAUCACGAAGAACUCCGAUUGCGAAGGCAGUUCACUGGACUGCAACUGACACUGAGGCUCGAAAGUGUGGGUAUCAAACAGGAUUAGAAACCCUUGUAGUC